rnacentral:tRNA from 1 species
GCGCGCGUGGCGGAACGGCAGACGCGCCAGGCUUAGGUCCUGGUACCCGAACGGGUGUGGGGGUUCGAAUCCCCCCGUGCGCA